rnacentral:misc_RNA from 1 species
GAUGAAGAACGCAGCGAAAUGCGAUAAGUAAUGUGAAUUGCAGAAUUCAGUGAAUCAUCGAAUCUUUGAACGCACAUUGCGCCCGCCAGUAUUCUGGCGGGCAUGCCUGUUCGAGCGUCAUUUCAACCCUCAGGCCCCCAGUGCCUGGCGUUGGGGAUCGGCGCGGCGCCCUCCGGGGCGCUGCCGGCCCCGAAAUUCAGUGGCGGUCUCGCUGUAGCCCUCCUCCGCGUAGUAGCAUAACCUCGCGGCCUGGAGCUCGGCGGUGGCCAUGCCGUAAAACACCCCACUUCUGAAAGUUGACCUCGGAUCAGGUAGGAAUACCCGCUGAACUUAAGCAUAUCAAUAAGCGGAGGA